GGUAAGGUGGCCGAGCGGUCAAAGGCGCCAGUUUUAAGCACUGGCCCCGAAAGGGUUCGUGGGUUCGAACCCCACCCUUACCA